rnacentral:ncRNA from 1 species
AUUGGGUGUCGCAAGACUUAAUAGGGAAGCCGGUUGAAAUCCGGUGCGGUCCCGCCACUGUAACAGCCAGCGAUCCGGCAUUGCCACUGUGCGCGAGCAUGGGAAGGCGUCGGGGAGCGUAAGCUGGAGCCAGGAGACCUGCCCAAUUA